CAUCUUGCUAUGAAAAUCGCUCACCACAGAAGCCAGGCCUGUUGCUGGCCUGGGAGGAAGGAAGGGGUGGUUAGGGAAGAGAUGGAGUGGCAUGCCCUGUGAUAAGGCCAGGAGGCCGAGGCCAGGAGGCUGGAACCUGCAGGGCCCCGUCUGUGCUUGGCCUCACUUGUCAAGCACCCACAUUCUCCUUACAAUGGCUGAAGCCAGGGACAUCAGACCCAGAGCCUGUGGCUACAAGGAACGAGGAAGCAGCCACACCUCUCCGAGACUCAGUCUCCCCACUGGAAAAGGGGGAGCACAGUCUCCACAUCCGCCGGGUGACUGGAGAAGCUGAGCCGUGCAGCCGACCUCGAUCUUACCCCUGUGCAGCAGCAGGCGGCUUUCCACACAGAGGUGCCGCCUUGUCCACCCAGCUCACGCUUGGCAGACAAAUCAAAAGGCUAUAAAUAGACACGUCUCAGUUCUCAUAAAUGGGUUAAAUAUGA